rnacentral:rRNA from 1 species
UAGGGAAUCUUCCACAAUGGACGAAAGUCUGAUGGAGCAACGCCGCGUGAACGAUGAAGGCUUUCGGGUCGUAAAGUUCUGUUGUAAGGGAAGAACAAGUGCCGCAGGCAAUGGCGGCACCUUGACGGUACCUUGCGAGAAAGCCACGGCUAACUACGUGCCAGCAGCCGCGGUAAUACGUAGGUGGCAAGCGUUGUCCGGAAUUAUUGGGCGUAAAGCGCGCGCAGGCGGCCUCUUAAGUCUGAUGUGAAAGCCCCCGGCUCAACCGGGGAGGGCCAUUGGAAACUGGGAGGCUUGAGUAUAGGAGAGAAGAGUGGAAUUCCACGUGUAGCGGUGAAAUGCGUAGAGAUGUGGAGGAACACCAGUGGCGAAGGCGACUCUUUGGCCUAUAACUGACGCUGAGGCGCGAAAGCGUGGGGAGCAAACAGGAUUAGAUACCCUGGUAGUCCACGCCGUAAACGAUGAGUGCUAGGUGUUGGAGGGUUUCCGCCCUUCAGUGCKGAAGCUAACGCAUUAAGCAYUCCGC